ACCACCACAAAUUCGUCGCCUUCGUCACCUAGGUGCAUAUAUUCAUCGAACCUACGGCCAAAUCUCUAAAAUCUAUUGAUUACACCCAAUAAACUUCCAAAUCGUUUCUCAAAACCAUGAAAUCUCAAUGCUUCACGUCUUCUCCACCGCACAUCUCCUCCUUCAUUACCACUAUCAACCUCCACCGUCGUAACCACUUUGCUUCAGGUAAGACCAAUUCGGCUUCAACAACGAUGAUGUCCUACCCCAGGUUUCCGAAAAUGACCACUAACAACUACACCAUCAUUGCACAAUGUCGUUCAAAAAUCCUAAGGCAUUGUUUCCACCAAUACAAACCACCAAGUUCGUGUUCUUCAUAUUUAGUCUGAUUUUCCAUCGUAUUUAUUAAAUAAUGAUAUUUUUUGGUGAAAUUGUUGUAGGUUUUUUAAUAUGUGUGGGCAUUGAAGAUUUUCUAUUGAAAAAAAAGCAUGGGUGAGAUCGAUAAAGAGGAUCGCCCAAGUAGGUUACGUUCUUUGUUUCUAUAUAUCUCUCUCACAUUCUCCUACCGCACCACUACCAUGACAACUGCACUACCAUCACACAUCCCAUUUGUCCUAACGUUGUUAUUUUUGUGUUGCUUUCUAUGUAUUUUGUUGCAAUGCCAAAGAGAAACAUAAAUAACUUGGAUACAAGUUUCACUAAUCCACAAAUAUAGUACAAGUAUGUGUUUUUAUCUCUUUUAUGAUCUUCUACAAGUUUGGUGGCUUUUGAUCAACAUAGGGGUUUGCACAGUUACUUACCAUACUUUCCAUAAUAGAAUCUCUUACCAUUGAUCUGUUGUGAAAACUUUUGGAAUGGUGUUGAUUUAUCUCAAACUCCAGGAAUUAAAGAAGAGCUACCAAAGAAGCCCGGAAAGGGAACUAUUUUUAUGACCAACAUAGUUCUUGGACACCAUGAAUGGAUGUAGGUUUUUAGAUCAGCAAUGUAUGACUCAAUGUGCGACUUCGGCUUCAUGAAAAAACCCACUAGAGUUUAUUAUGGCCAUGAGUUCAAUAGAAAAAAUCAUGCCAAUAUUGACAUGGGAUGGUCUGAGUCUUGAUGCAAUAGCUUCCCAUGCAACAAAAGGGUUGAGGCCACAUAUAAAGGUUAGAUGGGCAUGAUAGAUAUGGAAUAUGCAGUUCUAGCUAAUGAAGAAACUGAUAUUAAGGAUUUGAGUUACUCCUGAAGCAUCGUCAUAACAACAUCCUCUUCUCGAUUUCUUUUGUAGUGUUGUAUUUCAUAAUACAAGCACAAUAUUUAGUGAUGGAAAUGACAAGGUUUGUAGUGGUAUCAUAUUUUAAUUUAUUAUUAUUAAAUACAAUGUGAUGUGAUUGAGUA